rnacentral:rRNA from 1 species
AAACAAGUAUUAAAGGUCCCGCCUGCCCAGUGAAACAUUUUAAACGGCCGCGGUAUCCUAACCGUGCAAAGGUAGCGUAAUCACUUGUCUUCUAAAUAAAGACUAGUAUGAACGGCUAAAUGAGGACAAAACUGUCUCUUACAGCUAAUCAGUGAAACUGAUCCCCCAGUACAAAAGCUGGGAUAAAACCAUAAGACGAGAAGACCCUGUGGAGCUUUAAACUAACCGCUAAUAAACACUUACAAUAUGUUCCUAGCCUAAAGUUUUAAGUUGGGGCGACUUCGGAAAAAAAUAAAACUUCCGAGCACAGAACCACCACUUCUCACCAAGGCUGACAAGCCGAAGCUAAACCCGACCCAGUCACACUGACCAACGAACCAAGUUACCCCAGGGAUAACAGCGCUAUCUUCUUCAAGAGUCCCUAUCGACAAGAAGGUUUACGACCUCGAUGUUGGAUCAGGACACCCAAAUGGUGCAGCCGCUAUUAAAGGUUCGUUUGUUCAACGAUUCCGAG